UACAGAGGAGCCAAGCGUUGUCCGGAUUGACUGGGCGUAAAGCGCACGCAGGCGGUCGCGCGCGUGGGGUGUGAAAUCUGGCCGCUUAACGGCCAGGCGCCAUCCCAUACGGCGUGACUGGAGGGCUGCAGAGGUCGAUGGAAUUGCCGGUGUAGUGGUGAAAUGCGUAGAGAUCCGGAGGAACCCCAGAGGCGAAGGCGGCGCCCUGGCUCGCAACUGACGCUCAGACACGACAGCAUGGGGAGCGAACGGG
rnacentral:rRNA from 1 species